CAAGUACUCCCUCCGUCCGGAAUUACUUGUCAUCAAAAUGGAUGUGUCUAGAACUAAAAUACAUCUAGAUACAUCCAUUUCAAUGACAAGUAUUUUCGGACGGAGGGAGUAUAGG
rnacentral:pre_miRNA from 1 species